rnacentral:rRNA from 1 species
UACGUAGGGGGCAAGCGUUGUUCGGAUUUAUUGGGCGUAAAGAGCGUGUAGGCGGCCUGAAAGGUCAGCUGUGAAAACUCGAGGCUCAACCUCGAGACGUCGGUUGAAACCAUCUGGCUAGAGUCCGGAAGAGGAGAGUGGAAUUCCCGGUGUAGCGGUGAAAUGCGCAGAUAUCGGGAAGAACACCCGUGGCGAAGGCGGCCCUCUGGGACGGUACUGACGCUGAGACGCGAAAGCGUGGGGAGCGAACAGG